UCGAGCGAAUGGAUUAAGAGCUUGCUCUUAUGAAGUUAGCGGCGGACGGGUGAGUAACACGUGGGUAACCUGCCCAUAAGACUGGGAUAACUCCGGGAAACCGGGGCUAAUACCGGAUAAUAUUUUGAACUGCAUAGUUCGAAAUUGAAAGGCGGCUUCGGCUGUCACUUAUGGAUGGACCCGCGUCGCAUUAGCUAGUUGGUGAGGUAACGGCUCACCAAGGCAACGAUGCGUAGCCGACCUGAGAGGGUGAUCGGCCACACUGGGACUGAGACACGGCCCAGACUCCUACGGGAGGCAGCAGUAGGGAAUCUUCCGCAAUGGACGAAAGUCUGACGGAGCAACGCCGCGUGAGUGAUGAAGGCUUUCGGGUCGUAAAACUCUGUUGUUAGGGAAGAACAAGUGCUAGUUGAAUAAGCUGGCACCUUGACGGUACCUAACCAGAAAGCCACGGCUAACUACGUGCCAGCAGCCGCGGUAAUACGUAGGUGGCAAGCGUUAUCCGGAAUUAUUGGGCGUAAAGCGCGCGCAGGUGGUUUCUUAAGUCUGAUGUGAAAGCCCACGGCUCAACCGUGGAGGGUCAUUGGAAACUGGGAGACUUGAGUGCAGAAGAGGAAAGUGGAAUUCCAUGUGUAGCGGUGAAAUGCGUAGAGAUAUGGAGGAACACCAGUGGCGAAGGCGACUUUCUGGUCUGUAACUGACACUGAGGCGCGAAAGCG
rnacentral:rRNA from 1 species